AGCGAACGCUGGCGGCAGGCCUAACACAUGCAAGUCGAACGAACUCUUCGGAGUUAGUGGCGGACGGGUGAGUAACACGUGGAACGUGCCUUUAGGGUCGGAAUAACUCAGGGAAACUUGUUCUAAUACCGAAUGUGCCCUUCGGGGGAAAGAUUUAUCGCCUUUAGAGCGGCCCGCGUCUGAUUAGCUAGUUGGUGAGGUAAAGGCUCACCAAGGCGACGAUCAGUAGCUGGUCUGAGAGGAUGAUCAGCCACAUUGGGACUGAGACACGGCCCAAACUCCUACGGGAGGCAGCAGUGGGGAAUCUUGCGCAAUGGGCGAAAGCCUGACGCAGCCAUGCCGCGUGAAUGAUGAAGGUCUUAGGAUUGUAAAAUUCUUUCACCGGGGACGAUAAUGACGGUACCCGGAGAAGAAGCCCCGGCUAACUUCGUG
rnacentral:rRNA from 1 species